GCAGUCGUGGCCUAGUGAAUAAGGUGAUUGACUGGAAAUCAAAAGGUCGAUGGUUCAAUCUCCAGCUACA